rnacentral:rRNA from 1 species
GGAGGCUGCCUUCGCCAUCGGUAUUCCUCCACAUCUCUACGCAUUUCACUGCUACACGUGGAAUUCUACCUCCCUCUGACACACUCUAGCCUGACAGUUUCCAACGCAGUUCCCAGGUUGAGCCCGGGGCUUUCACAUCAGACUUGUCAAACCGCCUGCGCACGCUUUACGCCCAGUAAUUCCGAUUAACGCUCGCACCCUACGUAUUACCGCGGCUGCUGGCACGUAGUUAGCCGGUGCUUCUUCUUGAGGUACCGUCAUUAGCCGCCAGUGUUAUUGAUGGCCGUUUCUUCCCUCACGAAAGAGCUUUACAACCCGAAGGCCUUCUUCACUCACGCGGCAUGGCUGGAUCAGGGUUGCCCCCAUUGUCCAAAAUUCCCCACUGCUGCCUCCCGUAGGAGUCUGGGCCGUGUCUCAGUCCCAGUGUGGCUGGUCGUCCUCUCAGACCAGCUACUGAUCGUCGCCUUGGUGAGCCUUUACCUCACCAACUAGCUAAUCAGACAUCGGCCGCUCCAAAAGCAUGAGGCCCGAAGGUCCCCCACUUUCUUCCGUAGAACGUAUGCGGUAUUAGCGUAACUUUCGCUACGUUAUCCCCCACUUCUGGGUACGUUCCGAUGUAUUACUCACCCGUUCGCCACUCGCCGCCAGGUUGCCCCGCGCUGCCGUUCGACUUGCAUGUGUAAAGCAUGCCGCCAGCGUUCAAUCUGAGCCAGGAUCAAACUCU